rnacentral:lncRNA from 1 species
CUAAUUCUGAAAGUUAUCUGGUAUGCAGGAAACAUUAUAAAUAGAGCAAGAAACAGGUUCCGAAUUCAAAAGAUCUAAAAUAAAAUCACACAAUUUUUUAAAACUACAUUUUAAAAAUGUUGUGCGGAUAAAAUCUCUCAUUUGAUUACCUGCUUAAAAACAAACUAAAAAAGAAAAACUAAAAGUUGCAUAAAACAUUUGAUCACAUUUUACUAAUAAAAGUUUCUUUUCAUAUAAUGGAGUCUCUAUCAAAACACUCAACAAUAUGCACUUAUAUUCUGACUAACAAUUUCAUACAAAAAACUUCUGCGGAUAUGACAAAAAAACAACUUGUUCCUUCCUUGUAUUCAUUGAAUUUGUUCUGCAUUGGAGAUUAUUACUUAAUUUUUGCAUAAACAAAUUACAAGAACUUUAAAAUGCACCAAGGACUUUGUGAAUACAGAUGAAGCUGUAUUGAAUAAAUGAAUAUGAAACACAUUUGUCUGCAGUUUUAUUUUUGUCUUUUAAUUUUUGAUUGAUUUAAUGGGCAUGUUGAUUAUGCUUUGGUAUUGGAAAAUGUAUAAUUGGUAGAACUUAAAUGUUAUCCUUUCUCUUCUUAAUCAUAUUUUCGUUUAACCUAAAAAUUUCUCAUACACGGUCGAUGUCCACCCAACAAUGUCCUGGAUAUAUCUGUAUACUCUAGCUACAUUACUGAGUUAUGCAGCCCUUUCAUUUGUUCUUUAACAUACUUGAGAUGGUCAAUUUUUGUACCUCUUACCAUAGUUUAUAAAUUGAUGUGUAAUUUCUAAAAGACAGUAACUUGAAUCAGUGUUCGUAAAUUUGACAGUCCUAUAACAUGUCUUUCAUUCAUCAAAAUAAAUUUAUUCUUAAAAAAUGAAACUAUAAACAAUCAUGUCUUGAUUAAUAAUUUCUCUAUUUCUGAACAAAUAAAUAUUACACUGUUUAGAAAUAUUAUAUACAACAUAGUUUAUGUCAUCGAGGAUCAUCAAUUUCAUACAUUUUCUUCAUUUAUGAAUCUCAACAACAACAUACACACUGAUGGCAUUUUAAAUUGGCUAGUCUUCUACAGUGAUCUAUGCAGAAGAAACACGAUAAUGGUUAAGCACUCAACUUUACUUUCAGCAAAACAAUAGGUUCUGUUUAAAUAAACACAAUGACAAACAUUACAAAUUUACAAAUGUAUUUCCUAUAAAAAAAGAUUUUAUUCUGACAUUUAAAUUCAUAACCCAUAUUUUUGAGUUUUCAGUCAAUAAAAUCAUUCAUCAUUUCUCAUAACAGUAAAAUAUACUUUAUGAAAGUUACAUUUCAAGCAUGAAACCUCUAAACACCUAUUUUUCUACCAAUAGGUCACACAUAUUGAGUAAGCAUUACAUUACAUGUAAUAUAUGAUAUGGAGAACCAAAAAAAUGUGUAUGUAGUAAGUUAGAAUAAUACCAAGGGAAUGUACAAUGAUGCGUAUGCUUCUGAUAAAAUGAAAUGAAAAUUCAGACUAAAAAUGAUUUUACUAUAAAGUAUUUCAUUCCAUAAUGUAUAAAAAAAAUAUUUGAGUUAAAUACAAAUUAU